rnacentral:rRNA from 1 species
GAUGAACGCUAGCUACAGGCUUAACACAUGCAAGUCGAGGGGCAGCAUGGUCUUAGCUUGCUAAGGCCGAUGGCGACCGGCGCACGGGUGAGUAACACGUAUCCAACCUGCCGUCUACUCUUGGACAGCCUUCUGAAAGGAAGAUUAAUACAAGAUGGCAUCAUGAGUCCGCAUGUUCACAUGAUUAAAGGUAUUCCGGUAGACGAUGGGGAUGCGUUCCAUUAGAUAGUAGGCGGGGUAACGGCCCACCUAGUCUUCGAUGGAUAGGGGUUCUGAGAGGAAGGUCCCCCACAUUGGAACUGAGACACGGUCCAAACUCCUACGGGAGGCAGCAGUGAGGAAUAUUGGUCAAUGGGCGAGAGCCUGAACCAGCCAAGUAGCGUGAAGGAUGACUGCCCUAUGGGUUGUAAACUUCUUUUAUAAAGGAAUAAAGUCGGGUAUGCAUACCCGUUUGCAUGUACUUUAUGAAUAAGGAUCGGCUAACUCCGUGCCAGCAGCCGCGGUAAUACGGAGGAUCCGAGCGUUAUCCGGAUUUAUUGGGUUUAAAGGGAGCGUAGAUGGAUGUUUAAGUCAGUUGUGAAAGUUUGCGGCUCAACCGUAAAAUUGCAGUUGAUACUGGAUAUCUUGAGUGCAGUUGAGGCAGGCGGAAUUCGUGGUGUAGCGGUGAAAUGCUUAGAUAUCACGAAGAACUCCGAUUGCGAAGGCAGCCUGCUAAGCUGCAACUGACAUUGAGGCUCGAAAGUGUGGGUAUCAAACAGGAUUAGAUACCCUGGUAGUCCACACGGUAAACGAUGAAUCCUAGGUGUCGGGGCUCACAAGAGCUUCGGUGCCGCAGCAAACGCAAUAAGUAUUCCACCUGGG